rnacentral:lncRNA from 1 species
AUGCGCUCUUCAAAUCCGCUUUCCCCGCGCCCCACUUUCCAUGCGUCUUCCCUCCGCUCGGUCCCCCACGCCGUCCAGCGCUCUCACCGCUUCCCUCCGACCCCCAGGACAGCCCACUUCCCUCCCCUCUGCGGCUGUGCCCGGCCAGGCUGGCGCGCCCCGAACCCCAGCCUCCCCAUCCCGCAUCUGCUGGGUCCCCUCUCCCUGGCUCCGCGGGAGCCUCUCCUCUCCCCACGUCGACCCUGUGGCCCCCGCCCGAGCCAGUUGUCCCCUCCUGCGCCGCCCGUCGCCCCUGCGCGAGCACCCCAGUGGCCACCCGCUUUCCGGCUGGGCACGGAGGACACACGCCCGCCGCGCCCCCGGCUCCGAGCCCUGGCCCCACCGCCCAGCAGCCUCACAAACUUACUUGCGGGUCGCCAGGAGGAGGCUGCGGUGAGCGGCGGCUGGGCCCGCGGCGGCGAGUGCGCCCCUCUCGGCGGGCCCGGGCGGCGCGGCGCUGGCACUGCGCUCCGACGGCCGCGCGCUGACUGGGCUCAGCCGGGCUCUGCCCCCGCCGCCGCCGCCGCCGCCACCGCCUGUCUCGCCGCCGGGGCCGCCGAGCGCUUCCAGACAUGCUCAGUUUCCGGACCUGCCCGCGUGGAAGCUACCAAGCGCGAGCGGCGGCGGGGGAGACGCAGGAGCCCCGAGCUGGAGGCUACCACGCCGGUGGCCGGGGGGGAGGGGGGGUGGAGAACGGGUGGACGCGCCGUGCCGCUAAAAAUAGCUCCUGCGGAAGCCGCUGGGCUUGACGCGCGGCCCCGGUCAGCUGGCGUCCCUGCCUCCAGGCCUCGGGCUCCGGCGGCGCUGGCUCGCGCGUCCCUCGCUCCCUGCGGCUGCUCCAGAAUCUCGCCCCGGGGAAAUGGCGCCCUCGUUUGCAAGCACUUGCCCGUUUAUUUCCCCAGAGCUAUGCCCGGGGCUGAUCGGAUUUCGGGCUGCUGCCUGCCGGGGAGCCUUGAUUUGGGGUUUUCGCCAAAGGAAGCUGAGGAAAGUUGGGUUAUAACAUGA